rnacentral:lncRNA from 1 species
UUUAGAGCUAACAUCGGAAAACUUAUCUCGAGCCUUGAAGACUGCCCAGAAUGCCAGGGCUUUGAAAAUCAAACUGACUAAUAAACACUUUCCCUGCCUCACGGUCUCCGUGGAGCUGUUAUCUAUGUCAAGCAGUAGCCGCAUUGUGACCCAUGACAUCCCCAUAAAGGUGAUUCCUAGGAAAUUGUGGAAGGACUUACAAGAACCGGUGGUCCCAGAUCCUGAUGUUAGUAUUUAUUUACCAGUCUUGAAGACUAUGAAGAGUGUUGUGGAAAAAAUGAAAAACAUCAGCAAUCACCUUGUUCCAUCCAAUUAAAAGAACUGAUUGGUUGUUGGGGUGGGUAGAGGAGCUUCAAAGGAAAGGAGUCCCUUGUGACCUGUGGAGACAGUCCCCGGGCAGCAAGAGCAGGAGUAGAAGAGGGGUGCCCGAUGGUAUAUGAGGGGAUGGCAGAAGUCUGGUAGCCUGGGCGUGUGGAGUUUGGCUCAGCCAUCCUCAGUCCUGGUAACCCAACAGCAGCCCCAGACCCUUCUGGAUUUGGACAUUUCAUUUUCCAACAUGUUAUUGAAGCAAACCUAGAUGGAGAAUUGAAUUUGAAAAUAGAAACUGAAUUAGUAUGUGUUACAACUCAUUUUAAAGAUCUUGGAAAUCCUCCAUUAGGUAAGUUUUCUAGUGGGUUAUAUUUUGCUUUGGAUAAGUUAAUUGUUUCAGAUAACCUACCUGUUGAGGUCUCUUCAUGUAAAAAGGUUGAAAUUCAGUUGACUUUGUUUCAUGCUUGGGUGAAGAACAAAGGAAUUGAGACUGGACUAUGUAUCCCUGUGGUGUAGUGGGGCAGUUAGCCACCAGGGGGAGAAGCUGUGCCACCAAGUAGCUGACAGAUCUGUGCAGGGUCUCCAUCCUCUGUAGAAUUCGGAUCAAGUUACAUAACCUCCAAGAUCCCUUCCAGCUAUUCAAUUCCUGUCCUACUCCUAAAGAUUUCUAUUUCUCACCUGGCAUGGAUUCAGAAAGGUAGAUACAUUUGUUCUUAUAUUCUCCUCCUUCAGUUACUUCCAUAUGUAUG